UACAGAGGGGGCAAGCGUUGUUCGGAAUUACUGGGCGUAAAGGGCGCGUAGGCGGCCUGCUAAGUCGAACGUGAAAUCCCUGGGCUCAACCCAGGAACUGCGUCCGAUACUGGUUGGCUUGAAUCCGGGAGAGGGAUGUGGAAUUCCAGGUGUAGCGGUGAAAUGCGUAGAUAUCUGGAGGAACACCGGUGGCGAAGGCGACAUCCUGGACCGGUAUUGACGCUGAGGCGCGAAAGCCAGGGGAGCAAAGCGGGAU
rnacentral:rRNA from 1 species